rnacentral:lncRNA from 1 species
UGCUUGAUAAAAUAUUCCAAGUUGUAAUUUUGCAAAUGGCUUAUAAAGUUUUCAAAUACAUAGCACAUUUUUUUACAUUUAGUUUUAUGAAUUUUUUUUCACAACAGAUUCUACAUAAGAUCUCAUCAAAACAUUUGUUAGUAAUAAAAUAACAAAAUACGAAGUGCUCCAUUUUACUUAAAUGCCUCAUGGCAAAUAAUACAUUUUCAGACUUAAAAGCUGAGAACCAAUUUGAGUCUAUCAAAUUCAUUUGAAGUAUAUUUUAAGUUAUAUAAAAAAAAAUCUCAGCUCUCUUCACCCACUCUAAAAAUAAUCUAUUAACUAUUUAUUUGGUUUUAACCUGACAGCAUACUUUAAAUCUUAUUUGAAGUAAGUCCCAGACACUCUAAGGGCAAGUGGAAGAUGAAUCAUUUUGUGAAGUAAAAUGUAAGCAACUAGAAUCAUAUUUUAAAAUAUCAACUAUAUAAAAGGGGCAUUAUAAAAUUACAAUUUAAUCUCUGAAUCAUUCCUUUUCAUUGUAAAAGUUGACUUGAAUUUAAAUAAUUAUUUCUCAUAUGUUAAGUUGAGUGUAUAUAACCUGAUCUCCCAUUUUUGGGUCAAUGUGAAAAUAUAUUAAACAAAACAUUUUCUCU